UACGGUUUUACUGCUGAUUUUUUUCAGUAUGCUGUGUGCAGAAGAAAAGUUUGUCCAGCAGUGUGUGCCUCUACAGUCAGAACACGGUAUUUUCUCAUCUUCCUUUCUGUGUACAGCACAGGUGCAGCUGCCACUAUUUACCAAACAUGAAGGUGGUGUUCACAGCUUUGGGGAAAUGCAAAGGUCCAGAGAAAUUCCCCAAAACUUUUGAGAAGAAACUGUGUUUGCCCAGCUCCGGUGUGAUCCUUACGACAUACUACGUCUUUGUGUUUAGUUUCUUUCCUUUGAUGUGAAUGAACUUGCCUGGAGUUACGUGAUUAGUCAUAAUGGCUCCAUCUUGGUAGUGCAGCGUAGCAUGAAAUCGGAACAGAUUUCCAUCCAUUUCACUAACAGCAAAGCAUGACAUGAGAUUGGUGAGCAUUUGUUACAAGCAUGCAGAAGACAAAUUCUGUCACAAUGAAGAGCUCCACUUUCUAGGACUUGUCCACAAUGUGUGAGGAAAAGAUGGAUGGCCAUCAGUAAAUCCAGAACGAGGACUUCUUCUGAACAUCAUUAAGAAAAAGAAUGCCUUCAAUUUUCUAAAGAUCUAAUUUCAGGAAGAUCUUAGGGAUAUUGUAAGAUGGAAAUGUCUUCAUUAAGCAUGAGAUGAAUCAGUGCUGGACUUUCUGAUGCACCAAGCAGUGUUAGCCACUCAUCUCCAAAAACUCACAGGUACCGCAGUACCUUCUACUUUGUGGGAACAACCUUUGGCACCAGGCAGCAUUAUGUGAAACAUAAAAUCAACCAGUUCAUCAGAACAACUUGUUUCCCUAACUGAGUGCUAAAAGUGGAAGUUUUAAUGGAAAAUGGGACUUCUCAAGGAAAUCCUGCUGGGUAUUCUAAAGGCUACACUUUAAUGAGCACACAAGUGACUCAAUACCUAUCUUGCACAGUGGUUUGUACACAGGAGCUGCAAGCAAAGGUAAGUCCGGCUGGAAACUUGGAGAUAGAUGGAUUGGGAGAGAUGAAGGGAAAAACCCAACAGAUCCAAAUGAAUGGCAGAACUAAUAAGGACUGGUUUGCUCUGGCUUUGUGUCUCUUGGGGUGUGAUAGACUGAUGCUUGUCACACUGAAGUGUCCUCUACCAUGAUACUUUCCAGUCUUUCUGUGUCCUCAUAGUGAGAUGCCUCACUUCCCUUCAGCUCCUCUGCCACAGAGUAGCUCUUAGGUUUUUUUUUGUGGCUUUUAGCUACAGUUGCUUGGCUUCAUGACAGGGAGUGACCCAGCAGAUGCUGUUUUGGAGAUGCAUGCAUGCAUGUAAGGUGGCCAACCUGUACGUGUCCAGCAUGGUCAGCAGCUGCUACCAGCUGAACCUAAUCGAGUGCCCUUCUCCUCUGCUGGCAACAAAAUUAAUGACUUUGGGAGCUGCCUUCCAUGAUGUGCUGAAUGUAGUACAGGUAAGAUCUUGCUACCUUAAAAAUGACUAUGCUUUUCAGUUUGGUUGAAGCUGAACAGACAUGACAGAGAGACAGCGUGAUGCACGCAAGCUUCAUUUCCUCAGGAAGCCAAGCUAAAAAAAAAAUCUGCCUAGGAAAAUUUUCAGCCAACAUUUGAGAAGCUUGCCAUUAAUUAUCAAAAUGAAGAAGCAGAGUGUGCUAACAUGGUGUUGAUUCAAACUAUCAGAAUCAAUCUCUCAAUAAAUAGACCUGCUGAAAAAAAUAUGUAAAACACAUCAGACUUGUGUGCUGUUUCUUUUUAGCUUCUGCAUCUGGCCUUGUCAUAAGAGACUCCAAUCCUAAAAAUCACCCUCCUUUACCCAAACUCUACAGGAUACACAAAAUUUAGGAGGAGCAUUUUAUUCCUAAAGUGUCAGAGAACCUCUGUCUUUAAGGUUGCUUUUUCAGAGCAAGUAAAUUGAACUAGGUCAGCCUGAAUUAGGGUGAUGUUCUUUGGAUUUCUCAUGUUUCUGGUGCUCAUGGAGUUCAGUAUUUCUGGAGGACUGCUACUCUGCAAGAUCUCUGCCAACCCUUUCUCUUAGCCUUUGUUGCUUAUAGAGCUCCUGCCCAAUGCCAGACAUAUAUACACAUGCUUUGCAGAGCAGUUUUGGAUUCAUUGAUGCAAAAAGAUGAAGAAGUAAAAUAUGUGUUUCUUGUAUCACUGUUUCUGUUGCUGUAAAGUCAGUAUUUUAAAGGCUCCAAAGUUGCUGGAAAUGGAUUUUUGAUUUAUUAUGAGAAUCAGCCUUCUGGUGUUUAUUCACUUGCUGUCUACCUUCUGAAGGCCAUUUGGGAACUACAGCUUUUACAAAUCAUCCCUUGUAUUUUGGGUUAAUCCAGGCCUUCCUGCACUCUACUUGGUUGUUGUAAAUGCAGUUUAUAAUUUAUACAGAAUGUGGUUCAUCUGCCCUGUAACUAGGAAAUGUUAAAAGAAAGCAUUCAGUCAUCGUUUAUGCAUCUGGUGAUGCAGACUGGGGUUUUUAAAAGAACCCAGAAGAAUUAGGCAUUCAAAUUUCAUUAAAAUGCUGUGGAAGCGAAGCAUAUAAACUCUAUUAAAAAACUCAGUCAUUAUCUAUAACUCUUGUUUUUUCUCCAGCUUAAUUUGCAUAAGCUUGUUUAGGGGAGAGAAGUGGACGGGGCUGGUUUUGCACACCUUGCCUUCUUGAUAGUGCUGGGGCGCAACCCUGCCAUAGAGCUUGAGCAUGCUGUGACUCUCACCUCUUCCAUUUUCACCUGCAGCUUCAUGAACCCAUCUAACUACUAAUUUUAUAGUUAAAACCUUAUUUUUGUAACCAUAGAAAUGAAUGUAAGUAUCUGAUCAGUAAAACUGUUGAUACAAAUAGUUUGGUGAAUAUGAUGUUGAACACAUAUUAUCCAUAUAUCUAUCUAUCUAUAUCUCACAUUCUGGGAAUGAUUUGUACCUUUUCACACUCUGAAAUGUUCAGGGAGACAAAGAUGAAUAAAAGUUAGUUCAGAAAUUAAAAUUGUACUGCAGAGUGUAAAAGAAUUGGAUAUAUUGCAUUUAAAUACAAUGCAGUGUGACUAAAGGUUACAUGUAAUAAAUAUACUCUCAUGUCUAACAGAAAACAAAAGCUUCCUCUAUAUGCAAGAAUCAGUAAAGUACAAUGUAAUAAAUAUAAUGAAGAACAAGAUGAGAGAUCAAUUAGAUACACAGUCAGAUGAAGAAGAGUAAGUAGGGAGUGGAGUUUAUUCUGAAGUCAGAAGGGAUUGCUGCAGCAGUGCAGAAUAUGCUUGCUGGAGGAAGGAGUUAAUUGCGCCAGCAAUGUUCAGCCCCUAUUUAUUGCAAGACAGAAUUAAUGGCUUUCCUGCCUGGUGCUGAAAAUAGAAGCCAAAUUUAAGUUGUUUCUUGAAGGCAGAUAUAAUUAGAUCAUGAAGCUUCUGGCUUUUGGGUCUAAAUAAUAGGAUAAGAAUGACCACACUAAAUCAGAACAGAGUAAGGUCUCUUAACUGUUUCUUAGGGGUGAGAAUAGGACAAGCACAGAGUGAUACUUUCCCCAAUUUCCAGCUGUGCACAAUGCACAUACUGCUUCAACUGUAGAUUUAAGUGCAUUAUAUAUUAGCCCUUGCUGAAUCCUUUCUUUAUAGAUUGUUCUAAUUAUUUGACCCAUUUAUAUUUUUGUUAGUCACAACACUUAUAGCAAUAAACUAUCCAGUGUAGCUAUGAACUGUAUGUAGAAAAUAUUUGUUUGAUUUAAACUGUGAUAUUUGGUGCCUGCUAAGUCUUAUGAUAUGAGGAGUAGUGAACAAUUGCUCCUUACUUAUUGUCUAUGCUAUUCUCACUUUUAUAUACAUUUAUUUCCUCUUAGUCAUCUCUUUUUCCAUGUUGAAAAGUGCUUUUAUCCAUCCUCAUACAGUUAAAGUAGUAUACUGCUAUUCCUCUAUGUUAUCCAGCAUACGUCAUUCCUGCUUCUAAUAAACCUUUGGGCAUGGAUCAAUCAGACCUAGGUGAGGUAUUGCCAAUGUGGAUGCAGUCUGGAUUUAUACACUGGUGUAGUACUUUGUCUUUUGACUUUUCAUCCUUACAUAAUGAUUUGUAACAUUUAGUUUGCAUUUUCUGUCUGCCAGCGAGCACUGGACAGAUUUUUUCAAAGAAGUCUCAAAAGCGAGUCUGAGAUUCUUC